UACGUAGGGGGCAAGCGUUGUCCGGAAUCAUUGGGCGUAAAGCGCGCGUAGGCGGCCCGGUAAGUCCGCUGUAAAAGUCCAGGGCUCAACCCUGGAAAGCCGGUGGAUACUGUCGGGCUAGAGUCCGGAAGAGGCGAGUGGAAUUCCCGGUGUAGCAGUGAAAUGCGUAGAGAUCGGGAGGAACACCAGUGGCGAAGGCGGCUACCUGGACCAGCACUGACACUGAAGCACGAAAGCGUGGGGAGCAAACAGG
rnacentral:rRNA from 1 species